CCUCAGUUAGAUAUAACCCUUGGUUAAAAAAAAUUUAACCGACGGUUACAUAACCAAGGGUUAAAAUCAUGUUCAACAACAGAAUUUUAAACCUUGGUUAUGCAACCGUCGGUUAAAUGAUUUAACCCUGGGUUAUAUUUAACAGAGG
rnacentral:sRNA from 1 species